CGUUAGCGGCGGACGGGUGAGUAACACGUGGGUAACCUACCUAUAAGACUGGGACAACUUCGGGAAACCGGAGCUAAUACCGGAUAAUAUGUUGAACCGCAUGGUUCAAUAGUGAAAGAUGGUUUUGCUAUCACUUAUAGAUGGACCCGCGCCGUAUUAGCUAGUUGGUGAGGUAACGGCUUACCAAGGCAACGAUACGUAGCCGACCUGAGAGGGUGAUCGGCCACACUGGAACUGAGACACGGUCCAG
rnacentral:rRNA from 1 species